CGUGAGAAAAGACUAUGAAUUUCAAUUCGAAACCCGAACAAAACCGUAGAGCCAGCCCGUGUCAUUCUAGUCUCACAUUUUAGCAAGGAGAGCGAGAAUAGUCAAGUCAACACAUGCAGGACUGAUUGGAAGAUUUAAGUGUGAACUUGGUGCGUUAGAAUGUACGGAAAUGGCUCUUUCGGCAGCUUAAAAGUCGAGAGAUGGAAAGACACAUAGACAAAAACGUGGAAAAAGUAUGGGUGGAUCUAUCUAAUCUCUAAAACACAGAAAAAACUGCAGCAUCACCAGAGUUAAGUGAACUUUGUGUAGAUAUGCAUUAUUAUUAUUGCCAUAAAGCUCUCAUCAGUACGAGUACUUCGAAUGGCAACUUAAGUGCUAAGUUACGACUUAAACUGGAUAUCGAAUAACUUGUUACAACAUUAAGUGCCUCAAAUGAAUACGUACAUAUGAUGCAGCAUCAGAGAAUCGCCAGCCAACUACGCAAUCUUACUCAACGCUCAGUCAGUAACACCAGUAGUACGAGAUUAUUAUUGCAUCUUUGCGUUCGCAAUCCACAUUUUACUCUGGAGCAAUUUGGAUCUUGUCAACGGUCCCACAUAGUCAGUGCGAAAUGAAAGAAACUAUGUAUAUAAAUAUGUACAAACCCACCCAACCGGAGAUAACUUGGGACACGUGAUGGUCACCGGAAAUGUGUCAUUUUUUCGAGAUCAAGAUCUGUGUGCGCAUUAUUGGAUACCAUCUAGAAAAUUACAAUUUAGAAAAUUGCCCGAGUAUCAUGUCAACCAAAUCUGAACCGUAUUAAGCCCAUGCAGUUCACAGCGUUUUUUUGGUUGAAUGGCCUAACUGAACUAUAUUAAAGUUACAAACCAAAUUUAUGUUCGUUUGGGAGAAGUUAUUUCUAAUAAUUAAUUAACCAUGCAAAACAAAUAAUUAUUUAUGACUGAAUUUUAAAGUAAAUAUUUCCAUUUUGUAGCAUUUUCAUACAUACUUAGAUCGAGGUUUUGGUGCUGCUGAUCUGAUUGCUCCAACCUUGUGACUUAUCACGGUUGAAUGGUUUCACCCACUUUGUGGCUAUCAUUCAUCAUUUCUCGCUCAGACUGAGGGAGCGGAUACCAUUGUUGCAUGGAUGAAGGAAUGGAAGUUGAUGGGAAACGCUGUGUACUCACUCAGAUCGGAUCCAUGAAAGCAGUGUGGGUUUACUCGAGGAAACAACAAAAGUGAGGAUGGCUUGCGUUGCUUUCUCUGAUAAUGAGAUACCCACGACUCUGAGCCUAAUGGUUUGAAAAUAUGGAUGCUGGUGAUGGGAAAGACUUGCACUCACCAUAAUGCCGUUGAGGUUAUGAUGAUUACGAGUUAUGCAAUGAAAACUUUAAUCCUAGAAAACUGCAAAGAGAGUCCAAUCCAGUUCAACUACACGUGAAGAAAGCAUACACAUACGAGUGUAGACUUCAAAUAUGUGUGUAGCAAAUAAAAAUCAACGUCAUUUUGUA